rnacentral:rRNA from 1 species
UACAGAGGGUGCAAGCGUUGUUCGGAAUUAUUGGGCGUAAAGCGCGUGUAGGCGGCUUUGCAAGUCGGGUGUGAAAUCCCUGGGCUCAACCUAGGAACUGCAUUCGAAACUGGUCACCUAGAGUGAUGGAGAGGAAAGCGGAAUUCCCGGUGUAGAGGUGAAAUUCGUAGAUAUCGGGAGGAACACCAGUGGCGAAGGCGGCUUUCUGGACAUUUACUGACGCUGAGACGCGAAAGCGUGGGGAGCAAACAGG